AGCUUUGCACAUUGGCAGUAUCAUAGCCAAUGAAGUUUAUCUGUGGCACAAUUAUUGCUAAUUUUAAUAAAACUAUACCUGAUACUGAUAACUAAGGCAAUAAUAGUUAAAAGUUGGGAAGGCAA
ensembl:snRNA U4 U4 spliceosomal RNA